rnacentral:tRNA from 1 species
GAGAAUGUCUGCAAGAACUGCUAAUUCAUGCUCCCAUGUCUAACCCCAUGGCUUUCUCA